AGUGAACGCUGGCGGUAGGCCUAACACAUGCAAGUCGAACGGCAGCACAGUAAGAGCUUGCUCUUACGGGUGGCGAGUGGCGGACGGGUGAGGAAUACAUCGGAAUCUACUUUUUCGUGGGGGAUAACGUAGGGAACCUUACGCUAAUACCGCAUACGACCUACGGGUGAAAGCAGGGGAUCUUCGGACCUUGCGCGAUUGAAUGAGCCGAUGUCGGAUUAGCUAGUUGGCGGGGUAAAGGCCCACCAAGGCGACGAUCCGGAGCUGGUCUGAGAGGAUGAUCAGCCACACUGGAACGGAGACACGGUCCAGACUCCUACGGGAGGCAGCAGUGGGGAAUAUUGGACAAUGGGCGCAAGCCUGAUCCAGCCAUACCGCGUGGGUGAAGAAGGCCUUCGGGUUGUAAAGCCCUUUUGUUGGGAAAGAAAAGCAGCAGGUUAAUACCCCGCUGUUCUGACGGUACCCAAAGAAUAAGCACCGGCUAACUUCGUG
rnacentral:rRNA from 1 species